rnacentral:rRNA from 1 species
AUAACAUUCAAAUUAAAAAUAAUUAAUUAAAGGAUUGGUCCUUUCGUACUAAACAUUUUAAUAGAUUAAAGAUAGAAACCGACCUGGCUCACGCCGGUUUGACUCAGAUCAAGUA